GAGGAGGAAAAGGAAGAGGAAAAGACCUGAUUGCUGUGGAGCAGAUCCAUGGCAUCAUCCAGAAUGAAGCUAGAAAGCCUUUUUCCUGGUCUUCUCAAAUGCAUUUAGAAACUCACAGGCAUGUUUAGUUUUGGGAACAGUCAUGCAUUUGGCAGUAAGAACAGCAAAUAUGGAUCCUGGAGCAAGGGAAGCUCCGUGGCUGUUGGAUGGGAUCUGCCAGCUGAGUCACACAAGGCAGAUCUGACUCAUCACAUCAGAGCUGCAUCUGCAGAUGUCCCAGGAUUUUAUAAAGUUGGGCAAGGCUGAUUAUCCUCUGUAAAAGCUGGGGAGACUGAGGCAUGGAAGUUAAUAGAAUAAUUGGAUCUGCUGGAGGCAAGUUCAUCAAAUGUGGGAUGCACAAUGAAUCCACUCUGGGCUCUGUCUCUGAUUCACCACGUGACAUGAAUCCAGCAAUUUGCUGCUUCCUGAAGCUUUCCUGACUUCCCUGGCAUUUGCAGGAAGGUCCAUGAUCACGCCGUGGAGGCAGAUCUCCAGGAGAACCAUCCACCUCAUCCCUGGCGAGCAGAUCCGGGUUCCUCCACAGCUUUCCAGCAGGAUUUGCAGUGGGUGGUUGCAGACUGGAGAGCUUGGCAGCUUUUUCAGUGGUGCUGUUUGCUGCAGAAACCACGAAUUUUUACCCUUCUAUGGAAUAAUCACAUCCUGAAGAAAUCCAGGAUUUGUGCAGCCAAGCUGACUUCGCAAGUGCCACCACCCUUUGCAGCUGCCAGGACACCAACCCUGGAUUUCCUGAUCCUCUUCCUCAGCUCUUCAAAUCCUCCUUCCUAAACCAAUCCUGAGCCAGAAGAGCACGUCCUGGAGGACAGCUCCCAGUCCAUUUUUCCCAUAGUGGGCAGCAGCUCCCACACCAGCAUCCCCUUAUCUCUGUGCAUCCCUGUCCAGAGGCUCCUUGGCUGCCCCAGCCUGCCCUGACUGCCCCACCUUGCUGAUGCAUCUGCAGCCCUCCCUCAGGGCACAGGGGAGGCCGAGUGGAGCCUUUCCCUUCUCCCACCACCCCAUCUUGGAGCGUGUGGGAAGCUCAGUGCUCCUGGGAGCUUGGGAUGAGUCAGUGUUUGCACGUCCUGAGUCACUCCAGGGAGUUGCCAGAGAGGUGGGGGGGGGGAUGCCCAGUCUCAUCUGGGGGUGUAAAUAUCCCAGGAAGUUCUGUCUGAAAGAAAAUUCCCAUUGAGAGGUCGCUACCUUGUAGGGUUGCUUCCAGCAGGGCCACCACCACGGACCAGAAGUGUCACCCCAUGAAAAAAAAAGUUAUUUCCUGGCCCUGCUUCCAUGUGAAUCCUUACAGACGACCCACAGCUGUUUUUUUGGGAGGGGUGCCACAUCCCCAACCCGUGUGUCCUUGGAAACUUCCUGGGACAUGCCUCUUAGCAGCUCCCUCAGAGCAAGUUUGUGGCAUCAGGGUAUCCAAGACGCCAGGGAGGCCAUGGAGGAAUGCCAGGCAAGUUCUCAAAGCAGGGCUUUUGGGAUGUCUUUUGAGUAGAAUUAAUUCCCAGUCCUCCCACUGAUUGCAAUUUUUAUCACUAUUUUUGGGGUUUUUUUUUGAGCUAGAGAUGCUCCUGAGCUCCUGUGAUGGCUUUGGGAGUGGGUUGGCUCAGGAGUCCAUCCCUGGUGCUCAAAGCAGGUUUAAGAUUUAAAGGGGAGAGUGGACACCCUUGCUGACACCCACAGGCACCUGGAUGUCCUCUGUGCCUUGAUGCACUCCCAGAGAACACCACAGGAUGCUUCAAAUACACACCCAGGCUUUAGAUUUUUACCUCCAUUUCCAGCUUGAAUGCAAUAAAUUCCCAGGCCAAGAAGAGCUGGAAGAAGCACCCCAGGAUUUUCUGUUCUCAGAGUCCCUGCCUUUAACAUGAACUAAAUUUUCUGUGCUUGCUCAGAGCAGAGGCUGAGCAGGGAGUGAGGCCAGAAAAACAGGGGGUCACGUCAGACUUUCUUUUUCUCUCCUCUUAACACUGAAAUAAAAAUACAUCCCAAGCUUGUUUUGGGAUUAACAAGAAAAAAUCCCUCUUGAUGGGAACCAUCUGUGGCCGGGAGAUGCCGGCUGCUCUCUGCCUCCCACCCUCACCCAGACGCUGUCAUUCAGGGUGUGUUCCUCUCCCAAAUAUUAUUCCUCUCAUCCCUGUGCUGGUGGGAGGAAUCCCAACUAUUUUAGGGAGGCUUUUCUCCCAGCAUUUCAAAGCAGCAGCAGCUCGUGACACCUGUGGAGGAUAAUGUUUGCUCUCCUCAUUACAGCCCCAGUGCCCAGCACAGCUUGCUGCUGGCUGCUGGGCUCGGAGGGGAGACACUGCAAGUGUCUUGGGUGUGACCUUUCCACCCCAGAUGUCACCUCAGGGUCAAAGCAAACAUCUGGAGGCCUCUCUGGCCUGUCCCACAAACCAGGAGGGGAAAUCUGCCCCGAGGAGUGGAGAUUCCCUGGCUCUGCCUCUGCUGUGCUGCUGGAAAUGAGGGGUUGGUGCUGGUGCCUUCAUGGUGUCGAAGAAUGAGGGUGAUUUCUGGGGUGGACCUCGGCCCCAGCUGAGGUUUUGGGGUGGGAAAUGCAACUUCUGGGUUGGGUUGGCAACGGGAGGAUGAAGAGGUGCAUUUGCAGCAUCAGAAAAUCCAGAGAGAUUUGGAGCAGGGAGAAGCCUCCAAGGCCAGGAAGAGGAGAGGAAGCUCAAGGGGAAUCCAGCAGGACCCAGGGCAGGUCUGGCCCGGGAGGAAAGGCUGGAAGUGUUUCUCUGCUCUCUCCAUGCAGCUGAGGAGGCUGCCUGGCUGAAAUGUCUCCUCCUGGGAUCAGCUGCUGGCAGGUUGAGCAGGAAGCUGGGAGCAAGACGAGCCCAACAGGUUCUGGGCUGUGAAACCUCCUGGAUGGCAGCACAUCCCUGGCCUGGGAUCCAAGAGCUGAACUGAAAUGGGCCCAAAUGAGCAUUUUGGGGGCUUUCCCAAACCUGGCUGCAUGAAGGAUUUUUGUGUGGGUCUUGACAUCUUCAGAGUGAUCCAGGCCUGGCUUGGGAGGUGGUUUGGAUUGAUUUGGAAAAAGGGAGGCAGGACAUUCAGGCCUUGCUCACCCUGCUCUCCUGCUUGUCCCCCAGUGUGGGACCCCCCUCCCCAGUUCCUGAACUCUCCCAGGACUGAGUUAAUCCUCACCUCUCCUCCAUGGAGCCCAGCAGGAGCUGGUUGGAGUGAAGGAUGCUGCUCCCUCCUUCCCGCUGGGGCUGGCACGAAGCAUCACAGUGGCACUGGUGGAUUUUAUUCUCCAGCAGAUGAAGGCAGAAUGCUUUCCAUCUUUGAGGCUGGCAAAAUCCAUCCCCCAGACACAGGCUCGUCCCUGCAGCUGGGGGUGCAGCCCACGCUCCCAUCCCAGGAAUGUGGGAUGUUCUGGUGCUGCUUUGCCCAGCCCACAGGCUGGGAACAGGCCUGGCUGCUCUCAGAAUAUUCCAUGGAUCCCUGAAUCCGUGGCUGUUGUAAGGUGCUCACCCAAAAGCUGGUGUUGUGCAAGGAGGACUCAUCUUUUCAAUUUCUUUUAACAAAUCCCUCCUGGGCCAAGUACACCCCAAAAUGCCACUCUGCUUUUAACAGAGAAGGGUGUUUGUGCACAGUUACUGAUGCUUGGAAAGCUGAAUGCAGCUGCUGUUCUUCACCGACCAAAAAGCAAUUUACAGAUUAAAUUUGUAAACAUUUAUAUAAACUGCUGGAACAGCAUCGUGUAGAACAACAUCAUAUUGUAACAGGAAGAAAAAUUGCUGGGUUUUUUUUGUUUGUUUGUUUGGGUUUUUUUUCUGUUUUAUUAGAAAUAGAGGGAAAUGGAUUCAGAUAACAUUUUUCAGACGGUGAGGUUUUGAACUCUGGGGGUUUAAUUUCAGCAGUGUUUGUGCACACAUGCUCCAUCUCAGGCAGGCUGAGCUGAGGCUGGGAUGGGUUUUUCAUCCCCUGUAAUGGGGUCAAACCCCACAUCUCCAUCCAAGAAAACUCCAGGAUGGAGAGGAUCAGAGAACUGAUGCUCCCCCUGACCUGGCUGAAUAACAGGGGCUUUGUUCAGGGAUCCAGGUCAGGGAUUUCAUUUCAGUACAAAGAAGCCAUGAGAAGAAUGCAGCAGGUUCCUCCCAGCGUGGAGAAAUGCAGAGAUAUCUCCAAAAGGUGUUUAAUAUUAACUGGAGCAGGGCACAUCCCUGAAGGGUUUGAUUGUGAGCCUAUCUGUGUUUGUAUCCAAACAUCACCUGCAAAUCCACAGCGUGGCCAGAGCUGGAGCGGGUGAAAGUCCUCCUGGAGGGAGCUGGAUCAAUAAUGGGUUUGUCAAUAAAGAUCAUCCCGUGCUGGCACCAGGAAUGUGAACC